rnacentral:rRNA from 1 species
CAGUAGCCACGGUAAUACGAAGGGUGCAAGCGUUACUCGGAAUUACUGGGCGUAAAGCGUGCGUAGGUGGUGGUUUAAGUCCGUUGUGAAAGCCCUGGGCUCAACCUGGGAAUUGCAGUGGAUACUGGAUCACUAGAGUGUGGUAGAGGAUAGUGGAAUUUCCGGUGUAGCAGUGAAAUGCGUAGAGAUCGGAAGGAACAUCUGUGGCGAAGGCGACUAUCUGGGCCAACACUGACACUGAGGCACGAAGGCAUGGGGAGCAAACAGGAUUAGAUACCCCGGUAGUCCCUGUCUCUUAUAC